AAAAGUAACAACCAGGAUGGGUGGACAAGGAUCUCCAAAACGGAUCUAACGAUUUUCCUACUAAUUUGACAGUUUAUGUAUAUUUUUGGGGAACAAUUACUAGCUGAUUGGCAACAUAGAGAUCCUGUGUCCUAGUCUAGACCCAUAACACAAAAAUACGUUCAAGUCGUGGAAAGGACCAGGUCGUGAUGGUUCGCUCAGGUCAAUGAGAAGGUCAUUUGGCACUUGUGAUCCACAGAAAGGAAACUCUUCGUGGUCAUUGCUAUCCUCACCCCAGGUCACAGCGCAGGAUAUUAGACUACUGUACGACAAUCCAAGUAAUAAUAGGAUUGAUGUUUUGAAAGACAUGUCCAACUAUGUUCUUUUUAGAAUAUGAUUAAAUAAAUAAGAAAAAUGAA